rnacentral:piRNA from 1 species
UAGGACAGACAGAUAGAGGUGUCCAAAGU